GUGUAUUAUAAAGAGUAAAGAACUGCUUUGUUUCUUUGUGAGUUGCUGAGACCUGACUGUAAAGUUCAAUAAAUCUCUUCUGAUACUGUGUUAGCUCAGCUCGGCUGGGUACUUCAUCAAUCUUGCGCUGUAAAAUCGCUAUUUCUCUGUUUCUUCGUGCCAACAAUAGGCGGAUCUUUUGAAGUUUUUCCUUCUCAGUUUGGUACUGCUGGUCUAUAAGCUUAUUCGGCUCCUCUUCCUCCCCAUUUUCUGCUGCCUCAGCUUUCAAAUUCUCAAUAUCUUGUUGAAGCCGCUCCAUUUCUUCCCUACAAUGUGCUUUGAAUUCUUGCUCCUGGC
rnacentral:lncRNA from 1 species